GAUGAACGCUGACAGAAUGCUUAACACAUGCAAGUCGACUCGAGUCUUCGGACUUGGGUGGCGCACGGGUGAGUAACGCGUAAAGAACUUGCCUCUUAGACCGGGACAACAUCUGGAAACGGAUGCUAAUACCGGAUAUUAUGGUUUUUUCGCAUGGAGGAAUCAUGAAAGCUAGAUGCGCUAAGAGAGAGCUUUGCGUCCCAUUAGCUAGUUGGUGAGGUAACGGCCCACCAAGGCAAUGAUGGGUAGCCGGCCUGAGAGGGUGAACGGCCACAAGGGGACUGAGACACGGCCCUUACUCCUACGGGAGGCAGCAGUGGGGAAUAUUGGACAAUGGACCACAAGUCUGAUCCAGCAAUUCUGUGUGCACGAUGACGUUUUUCGGAAUGUAAAGUGCUUUCAGUCGGGAAGAAGUCAGUGACGGUACCGACAGAAGAAGCGACGGCUAAAUACGUGCCAGCAGCCGCGGUAAUACGUAUAUCGCAAGCGUUAUCCGGAUUUAUUGGGCGUAAAGCGCGUCUAGGCGGCAAGGAAAGUCUGAUGUGAAAAUGCGGAGCUCAACUCCGUAUGGCGUUGGAAACUGCCUUACUAGAGUACUGGAGAGGUAGGCGGAACUACAAGUGUAGAGGUGAAAUUCGUAGAUAUUUGUAGGAAUGCCGAUGGGGAAGCCAGCCUACUGGACAGAUACUGACGCUGAAGCGCGAAAGCGUGGGUAGCAACAGG
rnacentral:rRNA from 1 species